GACGAACGCUGGCGGCGUGCUUAACACAUGCAAGUCGAACGGAAAGGCCCUGCUUUUGUGGGGUGCUCGAGUGGCGAACGGGUGAGUAACACGUGAGUAACCUGCCCUUGACUUUGGGAUAACUUCAGGAAACUGGGGCUAAUACCGGAUAGGAGCUCCUGCUGCAUGGUGGGGGUUGGAAAGUUUCGGCGGUUGGGGAUGGACUCGCGGCUUAUCAGCUUGUUGGUGGGGUAGUGGCUUACCAAGGCUUUGACGGGUAGCCGGCCUGAGAGGGUGACCGGCCACAUUGGGACUGGGAUACGGCCCAGACUCCUACGGGAGGCAGCAGUGGGGAAUAUUGCACAAUGGGCGGAAGCCUGAUGCAGCAACGCCGCGUGCGGGAUGACGGCCUUCGGGUUGUAAACCGUUUUCGCCUGUGACGAAGCGUGAGUGACGGUAAUGGGUAAAGAAGCACCGGCUAACUACGUG
rnacentral:rRNA from 1 species